UGUUAUGCAUCUACCGGCGCCCACCCUCA
rnacentral:piRNA from 1 species